UGCACCAUUAGCUCAGUUGGUAGAGCACCUGACUCUUAAUCAGGGAGUCCAGGGUUCGAAUCCCUGAUGGUGCACCAA
rnacentral:tRNA from 6 species